rnacentral:rRNA from 1 species
ACAGCAGUCGCCACGGGAAUACAGAGGGUGCGAGCGUUAAUUGGAUUUACUGGGCGUAAAGCGUGCGUAGGCGGCUUCUUAAGUCGGAUGUGAAAUCCCUGAGCUUAACUUAGGAAUUGCAUUCGAUACUGGGAAGCUAGAGUAUGGGAGAGGAUGGUAGAAUUCCAGGUGUAGCGGUGAAAUGCGUAGAGAUCUGGAGGAAUACCGAUGGCGAAGGCAGCCAUCUGGCCUAAUACUGACGCUGAGGUACGAAAGCAUGGGGAGCAAACAGGAUUAGAUACCCCCGUAGUCCCUGUCUCUUAUAC